rnacentral:rRNA from 1 species
GACGAACCGUGCGAACGUUGUUCGGAAUCACUGGGCUUAAAGGGCGCGUAGGCGGCCUGCCAAGUCCGGGGUGAAAGCCCCCAGCUCAACUGGGGAAGUGCCUCGGAUACUGGCGGACUCGAGGGAGGUAGGGGUCGUGGGAACUUCCGGUGGAGCGGUGAAAUGCGUUGAUAUCGGAAGGAACGCCGGUGGCGAAAGCGCACGACUGGACCUCUUCUGACGCUGAGGCGCGAAAGUGUGGGGAGCGAACAGG